rnacentral:rRNA from 1 species
GAUGAACGCUAGUCGACAGGCUUAACACAUGCAAGUCGAGGGGCAGCAUAAAAGUAGCAAUACUUUGGUGGCGACCGGCGCACGGGUGAGUAACGCGUAUGCAACCUACCUAUCAGAGGGGAAUAACCCGGCGAAAGUCGGACUAAUACCGCAUAAAACAGGGGCACCGCAUGGUGAUAUUUGUUAAAGAAAUUCGCUGAUAGAUGGGCAUGCGUUCCAUUAGGUAGUUGGUGAGGUAACGGCUCACCAAGCCGACGAUGGAUAGGGGAACUGAGAGGUUGGUCCCCCACACUGGUACUGAGACACGGACCAGACUCCUACGGGAGCAGCAGUGAGGAAUAUUGGUCAAUGGGCGGGAGCCUGAACCAGCCAAGUCGCGUGAAGGAAGAAGGAUCUAUGGUUCGUAAACUUCUUUUGCAGGGGAAUAAAGGGCGGGACGUGUCCUGUUUUGUAUGUACCCUGAGAAUAAGGAUCGGCUAACUCCGUGCCAGCAGCCGCGGUAAAGUCUGU